ACUGUGGUUGUGGGCUAUAAGACCCUCAUCCUAGUUGCCUGGAAGCCAGUCUUCCGCUAGCAGCUUUCAGAUGAAGACGCAGAACUCUCAGCUCCUCCAGCCCAAUGCCUGCCUGGAUGCUGCCCUGCUCCUGCCUUGAUGAUAGUGGACUGAACCUCUGAACCUGACAAGAUGGAGAACCAGGCCAUCUUCUCUGUCCCUAAUGAACCAUUUUGGGAGGAAACUAUGGAACUGUCCUAACUGUCUGUAACUAGGGUGACAGAGCAUGAGCCUGAAAAAAGGAAAAGAAAAAAAAGAGAAAGUGUUGCUCUCGUUCCAGCAAACGCACAUUGAGCUGGUUUGAAUGGCUAUCCUGCGAGCAUUGUCAUCAGCAGUCUCCUCACGUUCUUUGGUUUCGAUGUGAAUUACUUUUGAAGGAAGGCAUAUAUGCAAGUCAUCUGACCCAGGUUGUACGCGGGCUCCGCAGCAUAUGGCUGGGGGAAAGAACAUCGCAUCUUUUGUUCGAGCUGGGGACUGAACCCAGGGCCUUGUGCUUGCUAGGCAAGCGCUCUACCACUGAGCUAAAUCCCCAGCCCCCAACCUGAGUAUUUAAAUGGGCACCGCUACACAUAUGUUCUAAGUUUCUGGACUCCAGCCCUCACACUGAUAUCACAAAUGCUCUGACUUCAAGAGUCAUCCCUGCCCUCCCUUCCCACGUCUUUACUUUCUUAAGAAAUGGUCUGUAGAUCAGUGCUAACCUACUGAGUCAGGGUCUGCCUUUAUUUUGACCUCUAGUGCCCAUCAACGUUUGAGAAACACCUUUUAGGUAGUUCCUCCCCUCGCUUGAAGCUGGGAGUCUGGCUUUGUGGUGUUGGAGAUAAUGAGAGCACACACAGUUAGCACCUUCCCUGGGUUGUCCUGAGAGCAGGUGACAGUCCAUCUAGUAGUCUAGCUCUAAGCCCAGGCUGACUUGGUCCAAUAUUCCCUCUGCCAUUUACUAGUUCUGUAUUUCCAGAAUCAUUUCACCACUAUAACCUCACUUAUCCCCAGCACCAUGUACAUGGUGCACACCAGGACUUGCAGCACUCUGGAGGUGGGGGCAGGAGAAUCAGAAGUUUAAAGUCAUCUGCAGCUACUUAUGAAGUUCAAAGAAAAAUACUGGGAAAAGAUUCUUCAUGUUCGUUUAUGAGAGAGUAGCUUCUCGCUGAGAUAGUGAAGGUGUUUUAGUCUCCGGGAGGCUGAUGAGACACUAAAACUUGGUGAACUUCUGAGCAGUUCUUCAUUACUCCAACCCAUUCCACACACUGCAGCACAAUUGGUCUCCCUGGCACUGGCUUCUAAGACCCAGUGGUGCCAUCCAGUAACUGGGAUUGCCAAGUAUACCCCUACCUGCACCACACACACACACACACACACACACACACACACACACAUGCACACACACACAGACAUAUGCACACGCACCACACAAAUGCACAUGCAAACACACAUACACACCAUACCAGAAACAUACUACACACACACACACCACAGACAUACACACAACACAUACACACACUCGCAUCCCAUACACACCACACACACACACAUACACACCACACCAGAAAUACACUACACACACACCACACAGACAUAGACACACUACAUACACAUACACAUACUCACAUCCCAUACACCACACACACCAUACACACACACACACACACACACACACACACACACACACACACACUAGUGCUCCAGUUGAAUACUGCUGUUCUCUUCCACAUAGUACAUCUCUUGAGAUGUUAGCAUUUAGCUGAUGUGUGCUAUUUUCUGGUGUUUUGUGCCACAGGAGAGGAUAUUAAAAAAUUAGUUACAUUGUUACAUAAAAAUCAAACCGGUCAAAACUAUUAUCUUAACACUAGGUAUAGAGCAACUGCUUCACAUCUGUAGUUCAAGAUGGGACACUGUCCUUCCAUCUAGUGAUAGUUUUGAGUUACAAUUCAGGACAUUUUAUAGUGAGGAUGUGACACUGCAAACCGUAAUUGACUUUCAGAGAACAGACUUUUCAGCACCCCGAGGGUAUGUGAUCUUACAUUAAUACACACUUUGUCGAAUCUGAUUGCUUAAUUAGGACCUAGAGUUCCUGUGAUAGUUGGAAACUUCUCCCCCCCACACUUCUUGACAAAAACUUUAUAAUACAACAUGAUCAACACAAUUUCAUGCGGAUCAGUUUUUUAAGACUGCUGAAGUCAUUAAUGCGUUUCUGUUAACGUGUAAUUAAACAUCACAGCAGAUGUUCACCACAGAUGUCUUCAACAGACUUGUUUGUUUGUUUGUUUGUUUGUUUGUUUGUUAUGUAUCCUUGGGUACUGUGGUAACGGAUUCAAGAUGGAGGAGUUUUGAGAAAAUAACUGAAUGGUUUAAUAAAAAGAAACUAUAAAAUACAGUUAACACUUAAUGUCUGGUGUCUUCUGCUCUUUGUGAGAGUCGCCUGGGGUUGCCUUUGUCAACAGAACACGUUCACAUGUGUCCCUUUGACAAGCUUGCUUUUGGCAGGUCUGGGAUUGCCUCAAAUACUUACACUGUGAGCAGUGUCCUGGCUCUGUGGAGAAGUGCUGCCAGGCAGCCAGCAGUCUGCCAGUGUCUUGCUUCCCUUCCUGAGAGCAUCGUGCUGUUUCAGGAAGGAGUCAGAGAUAAUACUAAUAAACACCCUGGACCAUAUCCUCCUGGCUCUCUUAGCUUUCCCUUGCCACUGCCCCUGCCGUGUAUAAUCCGUGUAAAAUGCGGUGGGAAUCGUGUAUAGGAAACGGCAGAGCCUCUCAAAUGUAGAUCCCAAAAUGACUGCAUGGAACAAUGCCCCUCACCCUCCACCCUGUUGCUCUUAGAAGCCAGAAGCACAAGUUCAUUGGGAAAGGCAUUCUUGUUCAUAGCAGUGAAGUCUAGAGUUGGGGUGUGUGUUUGUUUUCUUUUAUUCAUCAGUUAUUACCUUAAGAGCUGUUUCUGGUUUACCGCCCUGUGUUUAAUAGUGUCUUAAACUAAUGUAUAGUUAUGAAACCUUGUCUACAAUGCGACAGAGACUGUGUGAGCCCUCACAGUAUGAAGAUAACCAGAAAUAAUAUGUAAAGAAGUUAGAAAUGUGCUUCAGUAAAAACUUAUUUAAAAAAUAAUCCAUAAGGUAGAUUUGGCCCAGUGGCUGUGAUCUGAAAAGUCCAACUUUACAUGAUCACUUUUUGUGCUUAGAUUUAACUUCCCAUGAAAACCAUUUAUUUCACAGAUUUCCUAACUUACCACAAUGGAUAUGACAAUAGAAUCAAAUGAGGACCCCCUGUUAAGGGUGUCCCAUUGUGUUUAGUGUCCACAAAUACUCUACCUGAAAGGAAACUUAUAUAUGGAAACUUUGUUGUAUGAGAGAUGCUUUCUAAUGAGGAAAUGAAAAAAGCGAUUUCUGGUGUAAUUAUGGGACGGGGAUACAAACUUAAGGAGAAAACAAACUGGUCUCAGGUGAAGGCAGCAAAGAUUUUCUAUAAACAUUGUGGGCUUUCGCGUGAGUCCCUGGGGUUAUAAUAUAAACAGGAUGCAGAGGGGCUCUGUCACCCGAAAGCUACCACUACUAUUAUUGAAACAAUCAUUUGUCUUAGGCUGACCCCAAACUCUCCACUGAUCCCCCUGCUCUGUGUCCUGAGUGCCAGCACUAGAGGAGUGUGCCACCGUGUCCUGCUUAUCUGCUUCUGGGGAUGGAACCCAGGGCCUUGUACAUGCCAGCUAACCACUCUAUCCGCUGAACUAUACUCAGCCCACAAUUUCCGAGUUUUUACUUAUCUUUCCAAUUAACUGGGGUGCUGUGGAGGUGAUAAGUGUGGGUAGUAAAAGUCAGGAGUAGUAAGUUCGCCUGGGGCGGGGGACUCUUAAGAGGAGCUGGGUGUGUCCAAGAAGUGUUAAGUAGACCUUAGGCAGUAACUCAGAAAAGGAGCUGGGGUGAAGGUCAGAAGCGGAGAAGAAGGGUCAGUGGAAAGCAUUGCAUGCUGGGAAAGGACUGAGGUUGAGCCCAGUAGGUGAGGGAAACGGAACUGCCAAAGAGCAGCAUCUGAGCCGGACCAAUCUUAGAAGAUCGAGAGAGGGAGAGUCUGGAGGCUGGGGACUCCGGCAAGAAACCCUGAACAGUGCAGGUAGUAAGGUUCAGGCAACGGCUGGGUUAGGGUCAGACAGUGUGGUGAGAUCGCUUGCUGUUUCUAUAAACUCCUCCGAGUUAACAGUAGCAUCUGCUGUCCUCCCGUGGCGCCGGUUUUUCCUGGAUGGAGAACAGUGCAGCAUUCCCUGGUUGCUGACAACGUCUAUUCUUGUGCUCUGCGAUGCUCUAAUUAUGUUUGACAAUCACCACACACCAUUAUCCCAGUGGCAGCCAGUUGCCGAUCCGCAGCUUCAUCAGAAGUCAAACAAAAGCGAGGACGCAGAUGGCAAGGACGGGAUGGAAGUGGCACUCAGUUGAGUAUGACACUCUGGGUGCAUCAAGCCUGCCGUGUACCAGCGCUGCUGAAACCAGUUUAGCCCAGUUUGAGCAUAAUAAUACAGAUCACAUCUUGACCUAGUCUCCGGGACCCCAAUGGAAGAUUUUGGGAGUGCACGCGCCUACUUUAAAGCAAACACUUAGGACAUGAGCGUGGACACACAUGAUGGAUUGAAAGGUAUUCUGGAAGAUUUUGAAGAGAUGGUGACAGCUUGCCAAUAAUAACCUACCAAGGUCUCAAAAUACGGUGGGUAAUUCAAACAGUGGGAAAGUCUUACCAGUGUGCUCGUUAAUUUGACCAUGUGUCAGCGUGAAUUAGUCAACAGCUAUAGCCAAUGCAGGAAAGAGGAAAAAUUAAUAUUCACCAGGCUCUUGUGAACACUCUUGUUGUCAAGGUCAAUCAGUUUGCCUCAAGCACGAAAUCCCCCUCUUAUUAAGGGCACUAGUGCCCUUCAGUAAAUGGGAACCCACGUUUCAGAGGUGUUUGAUUUCCAUGAACUAACAUAUAGAGAAAUCCAGGCUUCCCCUGCAUUUUGCAGGAUUUAAAUAUGAACCUUUAUUUAGCCCGAUGAGUGAUGCUUCAUGGAGGAACGGUAGUUAGAAAUGAAAUUCACGUUAAUGCAGUCCAUAAUAUUCUCAGCUGCCCUGAAACUUUCAUUCUUAACACAAGCACUAUAUUCAAGUCCCUCCGAAGUCAUCGUCGCCAGGAACUUGCGAUACACUAAAAACCAAUCUUUUAAAUUUUUGUUUGCCUCAUAUUCAAAAUUUGAUUGUCCACAAGUGGAUUGUGGAUUGGAAAGCCUUACGGAGGGUCUGUGUCUCUAGGGUUCCCAUAGCUAUCACACCAACCAGAAAAGGGUAUUUUCUUACGGUAGAUAAAAAGAUAACUUACGGAUCUGUCCUACUGCCUCACAUUCCAGCCUUAUAGUAGUCUCACUCCUCAGCUGGGGUCCGCAGGCCCACAGAUGGCAUGAGCGAUGCUUCUGGAGAAUUGGUCUCAUUUAAUUGUCUAUGAGGGGAGAGACAAUAAACCUAUAGCUCUGCUAGAAAUGCCAGACGGUUUGACUGAAGCCUUGCUUUAGCUUCUCUGCUUUGCAGUCCACAGUUGCCUUGUCCAUCAGCCACUGCAACAUAUCGAAUUAAUAUUUAAGUCAAUUAGAAUGAAACUGAACUGAAAAUUCAGCUUAUCCGACACACCGCCGUGUAGCUAGUUGAGUGUGCUGUAUUCCACAGAGCCAAGAGAGAGUGUUUCUGUCCUCUCGGCACAUUUAACUGGUGAAUACUUAUCUAACUAAUGUAGAAAUUGGAGAGAGGGCUCAGCAGUUAGGAGUACAUACACCCUAGCAAAGGACCCAAGUCCCGUUCUCAGCAACAGCGUCAGGCUCUUGUCACAGUCACAAGAGCAUUUGUUCUUCAGUUGCUUCCCUGGAGAUUUUUUUUUUUUUGUUUCAAAUAAGUAAAUACAAUUAUCUUUGACCACUUUUCUUCAAAAGCAAUCCUCGAGCAAAAAUUCAUAACAAUAAAUAAACAAAAGAAAAAGCUUUUAUCAAUGAAUCUAGAUGUUUGACUUGAAUAAAGUAGGAAUACAAAA